rnacentral:rRNA from 1 species
AGAGUUGAUCCUGGCGUCAGAACGAACGCUGGUAGCGUGGAUUAGGCAUGCAAGUCGGACGGGAUCGGCCGGUUAGCAAUAAUCGGCCGUGAGAGUGGCGGACUGGGAGGAACACGUGAGCAACUUGCCCGCAGGACGGGGAAAACCGUUGGAAACGACGGCUAAUACCGGAUGCGGCGCCUUGGGGACAUCCCCGUGGCGCCAAAGGGGGCCCAAAAGGCUCCCGCCCGCGGAGAGGCUCGCGCACCAUCAGCUUGUUGGCGGGGUAACGGCCCACCAAGGCUUACGGUUAGCUGGUCUGAGAGGAUGACCCAGCCCCACUGGGACUGAGACACUGCCCAGACUCCUACGGGAGGCUGCAGUCGAGGAUCAUUUGCAAUGGGCGAAAGCCUGACAAUGCGACGCUGCGUGGAAGGAUGAAGGCCUUCGGGUUGUAAACUCCUGUCAUGGGGGAACAGGCGAGGGGACCCAAUACGUCCCUUAGUUGAGUGUACCCCAAGAGGAAGGGACGGCUAACUCUGUGCCAGCAGCAGC